GACGAACGCUGGCGGCGUGCCUAAUACAUGCAAGUUGAGCGCUGAAGGUUGGUACUUGUACCAACUGGAUGAGCAGCGAACGGGUGAGUAACGCGUGGGGAAUCUGCCUUUGAGCGGGGGACAACAUUUGGAAACGAAUGCUAAUACCGCAUAAAAACUUUAAACACAAGUUUUAAGUUUGAAAGAUGCAAUUGCAUCACUCAAAGAUGAUCCCGCGUUGUAUUAGCUAGUUGGUGAGGUAAAGGCUCACCAAGGCGAUGAUACAUAGCCGACCUGAGAGGGUGAUCGGCCACAUUGGGACUGAGACACGGCCCAAACUCCUACGGGAGGCAGCAGUAGGGAAUCUUCGGCAAUGGACGAAAGUCUGACCGAGCAACGCCGCGUGAGUGAAGAAGGUUUUCGGAUCGUAAAACCCUGUUGGUAGAGAAGAACGUUGGUGAGAGUGGAAAGCUCAUCAAGUGACGGUAACUACCCAGAAAGGGACGGCUAACUACGUG
rnacentral:rRNA from 1 species